AGAGUUUGAUUCUGGCUCAGGAUGAACGCUAGCUACAGGCUUAACACAUGCAAGUCGAGGGGCAGCGAGAAGGAAGCUUGCUUCUUGUCGGCGACCGGCGCACGGGUGAGUAACGCGUAUCCAACCUUCCCCUUAGUAGGGCAUAGCCCGUAGAAAUGCGGAUUAAUACCCUAUGUUAUUCGUCGAGGACAUCUGAAGUGAAUCAAAGGUUUACCGCUAAGGGAUGGGGAUGCGUCUGAUUAGGCAGCAGGCGGGGUAACGGCCCACCUGGCCUACGAUCAGUAGGGGUUCUGAGAGGAAGGUCCCCCACAUUGGAACUGAGACACGGUCCAAACUCCUACGGGAGGCAGCAGUGAGGAAUAUUGGUCAAUGGGCGAGAGCCUGAACCAGCCAAGUAGCGUGCCAGGAUGACGGCCCUAUGGGUUGUAAACUGCUUUUAUGCGGGGAUAAAGUGAGGGACGUGUCCCUUAUUGUAGGUACCGCAUGAAUAAGGACCGGCUAAUUCCGUGCCAGCAGCGGC
rnacentral:rRNA from 1 species